rnacentral:misc_RNA from 1 species
GUACUUCGGCCGACUACCGGCGCCGUGUCCCAUCACUCUUGUGGCAUUGUCCCGAUGGAUUGAACCCGUGGCUUGCGUGCUAGUACCCGACCUACGGGAAGUGGUGCUUCAUAUAAUUGUUGCCUCACGGUGGACGCCCUUUGGGUGUGCCAUUGUGACCGAAUAGCGCUUGCGGCGUUGCCUCGUACAACAGCCAUAUAAUGUGCCUGUUGAUAUCAUGGCAACCUCGCCAUCGCUUUUGGUCUAGGAUGCUGCUCACGAUAAAGGCUCGAGGCCCUUCGGGUUACCUUGAUCCAAAAGAAUGCUCUCUCUCCGAAAUGGCGAUAACCGGGUACAUGUCUUGCCUCUACCUCUCCACAGUUACGUGGUAGGAUACGCAACCCUAUGAUCCGGCCCUCAUGGAGGAGGAGACAUGCUCUCUCCGAAAUGGCGAUAACCGGGUACAUGCUUUGCCUCUACCUCUCCACAGUUACGUGGUAGGAUAUGCAACCCUAUGAUCGGGCCCUCAUGGAGGAUGAGACAUGCUCUCUCUGAAAUGGCGAUAACCGGGUACAUGUUUUGCCUCUACCUCUCCACAGUUACGUGGUAGGAUACGCAACCCUAUGAUCCGGCCCUCAUGGAGGAUGAGACACAAUGUUCUCUCUGAAAUGGCGAUAACCGGGUACAUGUUUUGCCUCUACCUCUCCACAGUUACGUGGUAGGAUACGCAACCCUAUGAUCCGGCCCUCAUGGAGGAUGAGACAUGCUCGCUCAAAAGCGACAACUGGCUCGGCUGUUGCGUUUGCCUUUCCACGCAAGUGGAAUCGCAGGGAAACUACCGACGCUGGACGUCACCGAGG